UGAAGAUGCAGUGUACCCGCGGCAAGACGGAAAGACCCCGUGAACCUUUACUAUAGCUUGACACUGAACAUUGAGCCUUGAUGUGUAGGAUAGGUGGGAGGCUUUGAAGUGUGGACGCCAGUCUGCAUGGAGCCGACCUUGAAAUACCACCCUUUAAUGUUUGAUGUUCUAACGUUGGCCCGUAAUCCGGGUUGCGGACAGUGUCUGGUGGGUAGUUUGACUGGGGCGGUCUCCUCCUAAAGAGUAACGGAGGAGCACGAAGGUUGGCUAAUCCUGGUCGGACAUCAGGAGGUUAGUGCAAUGGCAUAAGCCAGCUUGACUGCGAGCGUGACGGCGCGAGCAGGUGCGAAAGCAGGUCAUAGUGAUCCGGUGGUUCUGAAUGGAAGGGCCAUCGCUCAACGGAUAAAAGGUACUCCGGGGAUAACAGGCUGAUACCGCCCAAGAGUUCAUAUCGACGGCGGUGUUUGGCACCUCGAUGUCGGCUCAUCACAUCCUGGGGCUGAAGUAGGUCCCAAGGGUAUGGCUGUUCGCCAUUUAAAGUGGUACGCGAGCUGGGUUUAGAACGUCGUGAGACAGUUCGGUCCCUAUCUGCCGUGGGCG
rnacentral:rRNA from 1 species